GACGAACGCUGGCGGCGCGCCUAAUACAUGCAAGUCGAACGAACUCGAGACUUCGGUCUCAAUGAGUUAGUGGCGAACGGGUGAGUAACACGUGAGAAACCUGCCUCGGAGACCGGGACAACCAUUGGAAACGAUGGCUAAUACCGGAUGUCCUCUAACGAUCGCAUGAUCGAUUGAGGAAAUGAUCCGUCGCUCCGGGAGGGUCUCGCGGCCUAUCAGCUAGUUGGUGAGGUAACGGCUCACCAAGGCAUCGACGGGUAGCUGGUCUGAGAGGACGAUCAGCCACACUGGAACUGAGACACGGUCCAGACUCCUACGGGAGGCAGCAGUAGGGAAUCUUGCACAAUGGGCGAAAGCCUGAUGCAGCGACGCCGCGUGGGGGAUGAAGGCCUUCGGGUUGUAAACCCCUUUCAGUAGGGACGAAAAUGACGGUACCUACAGAAGAAGCUCCGGCCAACUACG
rnacentral:rRNA from 1 species